AAAUUUCAUUUUUUUUAUCUUUUCUUUUCUUCUGAAAAAAAAAUAGAAAGAGCAGCCCCUUUUCCCCAUUUCUUUCUCUGCUAGGGUUUCAAAACCCUCCCACGCUGCCGUCAUCAGGGUUUCUUGAAACCACCGGGGCUUCCACCGUCGACGAGGGUCAAGACCGCAAGGAUCCAGGUGAUGGGAUGAUGAGACGAAGGCAGUGCAAGUGGAGGCAAGCGUCGGUGGUGGGUUUGGGCUUCUAUUUUGGGCCCAAAAUUGGGCUUGUACAAUCAUUUAUUACCUUAUAACUUGGUUAAUGCUUCAAUUACUAUCAAUAUUAAUCAUAACUACUUGCUAUUGCAUAAUGUUGACAAAAUAUAUAAAUGUUGAGGGUUAAAUUUGACAUUGUACUUAAUUUUCUUCUACUUUUCUGAUUUAAAAUUAAAGUCCUUUUGAUAA